rnacentral:rRNA from 1 species
UACGUAGGGUGCGAGCGUUAAUCGGAAUUACUGGGCGUAAAGCGUGCGCAGGCGGCGCGUUAAGACAGGUGUGAAAGCCCCGAGCUUAACUUGGGAAGUUGCGCUUGUGACUGGCGUGCUGGAGUGUGGCAGAGGGAGGUGGAAUUCCACGUGUAGCAGUGAAAUGCGUAGAGAGUGUGGAGGAACAGCCGAUGGCGAAGGCAGGUCUCUGGGCAUUAACUGACGCUGAGGAGCGAAAGCAUGGGGGAGCGAACAGG